rnacentral:rRNA from 1 species
UACGUAGGGUGCAGGCGUUAAUCGGAAUUACUGGGCGUAAAGCGUGCGCAGGCGGUUUGCUAAGACAGGUGUGAAAUCCCCGGGCUUAACCUGGGAACUGCGCUUGUAACUGGCAAGCUAGAGUGCGGCAGAGGGGGGUGGAAUUCCACGUGUAGCAGUGAAAUGCGUAGAGAUGUGGAGGAACACCGAUGGCGAAGGCAGCCCCCUGGGCUAACACUGACGCUCAUGCACGAAAGCGUGGGGAGCAAACAGG